UAGACCACCAUAAGGUUGUUUCUGCUGUCAAUGUAUUUCAUUUUCUUCUCAUUGUUUAAUACCAUGGAGGUUUGUAGCAGACGCCACAACACUGACGAGGGAUAAAAGGACAGAAACACUUAUAUGUCAUGUUUGGGUAGGCCACAGUCCUGUUAUUUGCUGCGAGACUGAAGGGGUGUUGGUGUGUGAGCGCGGGAGCAAAGCAGACCCUUGAUCAGUGUUUUAUGGUGAUGGAAAGACGGAGCAUAUGAAGACGGAGAGGAACAUCUGGAAGUCCUUUACGUCUGAUGUGUGGCGGCGGAGGGCCCAGCUCCUAGGAGCGGGAAGGAGACGACGAGGAGAGGGCUCAGAAAGGACCAGGUGAAGAACACCAGGGCAAGAAACGAAAACCGGAGGGCGAUCCAGAGGUGAGGAAAUGUGAGGGGCCAGUGCUUGCAGGUGGCCAGACAGACUCAUCACCACGGCAACAUCUCAGACGACAACCAUUACCACAGCAACAGUGGCUUUGAUCUUCUGGAGCCCUGUGAAAGCAACCUUUAACCUGGCAGUAAUAAAAACCCACUCACACACACAAUGUGUGUGUGUGUGUGUGUGUGUGUGUGUGUGUGUGUGUGUGUGUGUGUG